UGGAAGGUGGCUCAGUGGUAGAGUGAUUGCCUUGCAUGCAUGAGGCCCUGGGUUCAAUUCCUCAGCAUCACAU
rnacentral:tRNA from 1 species